AAUCGCGUCAAAGAUGUCUGAAUUUGUAUCUCUGGAGGAGCCUUGAGCUUUUAUGUACUCUUGUAAACUUCCAAGUACUUGGAUUGACAUUUUGUCUGAAAUGAACACUUGUCCAACAUUUAUGUGAAGUGGUUCUGACCCGGCGCGGGCAACGAGCAUUCCACUCCGAUCCAUCUCACCCGACCCAAGGUCCUGGGGUCGGACACGCCCGAGCCCUUGCUGGCGAAACUCCGCCUCGCCCGACCCAUGGUCCCAGGGUCGGAUACGCCCGACCCCUCACCGCACGGCUCCGCCUCGCCCGACCCCGAGCGUAGGGGGUUGGACUCAUCCGGGCCCCCAAGAUAAGGAUCCGCCUCGGGCGCAGACCAUGCUUGGUGGAAGUGGUUCUGAGGACUGAGUUUGAGUAGUCGCGAUGUUGUCGAGUACCCUGCUUUGUUACUCUUUGAAUAGGGGGUGCACGGGUGUACUAUACUCUUUUGUCCUUUGUGGCAUGAAUGCUUUCACGUGG
rnacentral:lncRNA from 1 species